AUGAAGCUGGAAUUGCUAGUAAUGGCAGGUCAGCAUACUGCCGUGAAUACGUUCCCGGGCCUUGUACACACCGCCCGUCACACCAUGAGAGUUGGAAAUACCCGAAGCCUGUGAGCCAACUUAAAGAGGCAGCAGUCGAAGGUAGAGCCAAUGAUUGGGGUGAAGUCGUAACAAGGUAUC
rnacentral:rRNA from 1 species